rnacentral:rRNA from 1 species
GCUAAACGCGAAGAACCUUACCUAGGCUUGACAUGCAUCUCUAAGCGCGUGAAAGCGCGUGACCCUUCGGGGGAGUUGUCACAGGUGGCUGCAUGGCCGGUUCGUUCAGCUCGUGUCGUGAGGUGUUGGGUUAAGGUACCCGCAACGAGCGCAACCCUUCGUGAUUAGUUGCCACGCACGUCAUGGUGGGGAACUCUAAUCAGACUGCCCACGAUCAACUGGGAGGAAGGUGGGGACGACGUCAGGUCAGUAUGGCCCUUACGCCUAGGGCUGCACACGUACUACAAUGCCCAGUACAAUGAGAACCGAGACCGCGAGGUGGAGGAAAUCUACAAAACUGGGCCCAGUUCGGAUUGGAGGCUGCAACUCGCCUCCAUGAAGCCGGAAUCGCUAGUAAUGGCACAUCAGCUACGGUGCCGUGAAUACGUUCCCGGGUCUUGUACACACCG